rnacentral:rRNA from 1 species
GAUGAACGCUGGCGGCGUGCCUAAUACAUGCAAGUCGAGCGAACAGACGAGGAGCUUGCUCCUCUGACGUUAGCGGCGGACGGGUGAGUAACACGUGGAUAACCUACCUAUAAGACUGGGAUAACUUCGGGAAACCGGAGCUAAUACCGGAUAAUAUAUUGAACCGCAUGGUUCAAUAGUGAAAGACGGUUUUGCUGUCACUUAUAGAUGGAUCCGCGCCGCAUUAGCUAGUUGGUAAGGUAACGGCUUACCAAGGCGACGAUGCGUAGCCGACCUGAGAGGGUGAUCGACCACACUGGAACUGAGACACGGUCCAGAAUACUACGAGAGGCAGCAGUAGGGAAUCUUCCGCAAUGGGCGAAAGCCUGACGGAGCAACGCCGCGUGAGUGAUGAAGAUCUUCGGAUCGUAAAACUCUGUUAUUAGGGAAGAACAAAUGUGUAAGUAACUAUGCACGUCUUGACGGUACCUAAUCAGAAAGCCACGGCUAACUACGUG